rnacentral:lncRNA from 1 species
CUCCUUGUAGGUCUGAAGCAAAGCUCUAGUGCGGUUAGUGUCUCUAACUGGUUUGACACGGCUACCCACAUUGCAGUAGAAGAACUCCAAGGUCAUGCCUAUCUCAUCUUCGAUAAACAUAUUGUGAAGAAUAACACAGCAUGUCAUGAUGUUUUUCAAGGUUCGCUUGUCCCAAAAACGAGCAGGACCACAAAUAAUGGCAAACCUAGAUUGCAAAACCCUGAAUGCUCUUUCAAUGUCUUUUCAGGUUGCCUCUUGUACCCUUGUGAAUUCACAUUAUUUCCUAGUUUGGGGGUCUUUGAUGCUCUUGACAAAUGUGCACCAAGGAGGGUAUAUACCAUCUCCAAGAUAGUACUCCUUUGUGUAUUCAUGCCCAUGGAUAGUGUAGUUGUAAACACGAGCAUCACCACGAGCAAGCCUAGCAAACAAAUAAGACCGUUGCAAUACAUUGAUAUCACUGAGAGUACCCGACAUACCAAAAAGUAAUGCCAAAUUCAUAAAUCCUCGGAUGCUACGGCCUCUAGCACAAUUGUUGCAUCACGAGACUUGUCACAAUACAUUCCCUGCCAUGCCUUUGGGCAAUUUUUUCAUUUCCAAUGCAUAUAAUCUAUGCUACCUACGAAGGAAAUAUGCCCUAGAGGCAAUAAUAAAGUUAUUAUUUAUUUCCUUAUAUCAUGAUAAAUGUUUAUUAUUCACGCUAGAAUUGUAUUAACCGGAAACAUAAUACUUGUGUGAAUACAUAGACAAACAGAGUGUCACUAUUAUGCCUCUACUUGACUAGCUCGUUGAUCAAAGAUGGUUAUGUUUCCUAGCCAUAGACAUGAGUUGUCAUUUGAUUAACGGGAUCACAUCAUUAGGAGAAUGAUGUGAUUUACUUGACCCAUUCCGUUAGCUUAGCACACGAUCGUUUAGUAUUCUGCUAUUGCUUUCUUCAUGACUUAUACAUGUUCCUAUGACUAUGAGAUUAUGCAACUCCCGUUUACCGGAGGAACACUUUAUGUGCUACAAACGUCACAACGUAACUGGGUGAUUAUAAAGGUGCUCUACAGGUGUCUCCAAAGGUACUUGUUGGGUUGGCGUAUUUCGAGAUUAGGAUUUGUCACUCCGAUUGUCAAAGAGGUAUCUCUGGGCCCUCUCGGUAAUGCACAUCACUUAAGCCUUACAAGCAUUGCAACUAAUGAGUUAGUUGCGGGAUGAUGUAUUACGGAACGAGUAAAGAGACUUGCCGGUAACGAGAUUGAACUAGGUAUUGAGAUACCGACGAUCGAAUCUCGGGCAAGUAACAUACCGAUGACAAAGGGAACAACGUAUGUUGUUAUGCGGUCUGACCGAUAAAGAUCUUCGUAGAAUAUGUGGGAGCCAAUAUGAGCAUCCAGGUUCCGCUAUUGGUUAUUGACCGAAGACGUGUCUCGGUCAUGUCUACAUAGUUCUUGAACCCGUAGGGUUCGCAAGCUUAAAGUUUUGAUGACAGUUAUAUUAUGAGUUUAUAUGUUUUGAUGUAUCGAAGGUUGUUCGUAGUCCCAGAUGUGAUCACGGACAUGACGAGGGGUCUCGAAAUGGUCGAGACAUGAAGAUUGAUAUAUUGGAAGCCUAUGUUUGGAUAUCGGAAGUGUUCCAGGUGAAAUCGGGAUUUUACUGGAGUAUCGGAGGGGUUACCAAAACCCCCCUGGGGUUAAUGGGCCUUAGUGGGCCUUUGCGGAGAAGAGGAGAGGCGGCCAGGGCAGGGCCGCGCGCCCCUCCCCCCCUACUCCGAAUAGGACAAGGAGAGGGGUCGGCGCCCCCCUUCCUUCCUCUCCCCCUCCUCUUCCCCCGCAAGUCCUAAUCCAACUAGGAAAAGGGGGGAGUCCUACUCCCGGUAGGAGUAGGACUCCUCCUGGCGCGCCCUCCUCCUGGCCGACCGCACCCCCCCCCCUUGCUCCUUUAUAUACGGGGGCAGGGGGCACCCCAUAGACACAACAAUUGAUCGUUUGAUCUUUUAGCCGUGUGCGGUUCCCCCCUCCACCAUAGUCCACCUUGAUAAUACUGUAGCGGUGCUUAGGCGAAGCCCUGCGUCGGUAGAACAUCAUCAUCGUCACCAUGCCGUCGUGCUGACGAAACUCUCCCUCAACACUCGGUUGGAUCGGAGUUCGAGGGACGUCAUCAGGCUGAACGUGUGCUGAAACUCGGAGGUGCCGUCCAUUCGGUACUUGAUCGGUCGGAUCAUGAAGACGUACGACUACAUCAACCGCGUUGUGCUAACGCUUCCGCUUUCGGUCUAUGAGGGUACGUGGACAACACUCUCCCCUCUCAUUGCUAUGCAUCACCAUGUUCUUGCGUGAGCGUAGGAAAUUUUUUGAAAUUGCUACGUUCCCCAACAGUGGCAUCCGAGCCAGGUUUUAUGCGUAGAUGUCAUAUGCACGAGUAGAACACAAGUGAGUUGUGGGCGAUAUAAGUCAUACUGCUUACCAGUAUGUCAUACUUUGGUUCGGCGGUAUUGUUGGAUGAAGCGGCCCGGACCGACAUUACGCGUACGCUUACGCGAGACUGGUUCUACCGACGUGCUUUGCACAUAGGUGGCUGGAGGGUGUCAGUUUCUCCAACUUUAGUUGAACCGAGUGUGGCUACGCCCGGUCCUUGCGAAGGUUAAAACAGCACCAACUUGACAAACUAUCGUUGUGGUUUUGAUGCGUAGGUAAGAAUGGUUCUUGCUAAGCCCGUAGCAGCCACGUAAAACAUGCAACAACAAAGUAGAGGACGUCUAACUUGUUUUUGCAGGGCAUGUUGUGAUGUGAUAUGGUCAAGACAUGAUGCUAAAUUUUAUUGUAUGAGAUGAUCAUGUUUUGUAACCGAGUUAUCGGCAACUAGUAGGAGCCAUAUGGUUGUCGCUUUAUUGUAUGCAAUGCAAUCGCCCUGUAAUGCUUUACUUUAUCACUAAGCGGUGGCGAUAGUCGUAGACGCAUAAGAUUGGCGAGACACAACGAUGCUACGAUGGAGAUCAAGGUGUCGCGCCGAUGACGAUGAUGAUCAUGAUGGUGCUUCGGAGAUGGAGAUCACAAGCACAAGAUGAUGAUGGCCAUAUCAUAUCACUUAUAUUGAUUGCAUGUGAUGUUUAUCUUUUAUGCAUCUUAUCUUGCUUUGAUUGAUGGUAGCAUUAUAAGAUGAUCCCUCACUAAAGUAUCAAAGUAUAAGUGUUCUCCCUGAGUAUGGACCGUUGCGAAAGUUCUUCGUGCUGAAACACCAUGUGAUGAUCGGCUGUGAUAGGCUCUACGUUAUACAACGGGUGCAAAACAGUUGCACACGCGGAAUACUCAGGUUAAACUUGACGAGCCUAGCAUAUAACAGAUAUGGCCUCGGAACACGGAGACCGAAAGGUCGAGCGUGAAUCAUAUAGUAGAUAUGAUCAACAUAGUGAUGUUCACCAUUGAAACUACUCCAUCUCACGUGAUGAUCGGACAUGGUUUAGUUGAUUUGGAUCACGUGAUCACUUAGAGGAUUAGAGGGAUGUCUAUCUAAGUGGGAGUUCUUAAGUAAUAUGAUUAAUUGAACUUAAAUUUAUCAUGAACUUAGUACCUGAUAGUAUCUUGCUUGUCUAUGUUGAUUGUAGAUAGAUGGCCCGUGCUGUUGUUCCGUUGAAUUUUAAUGCAUUCCUUGAGAAAGCAAAGUUAAAAGAUGAUGGUAGCAAUUACACGGACUGGGUCCGUCACUUGAGGAUUAUCCUCAUUGCUGCAUAGAAGAAUUACGUCCUGGAAGCACCACUGGGUGCCAGGCCUGCUGCUGAUGCAACUGAUGACGUUAAGAACGUCUGGCAGAGCAAAGCUGAUGACUACUCGAUAGUUCAAUGUGCCAUGCUUUACGGCUUAGAACCAGGACUUCAACGAUGUUUUGAACGUCAUGGAGCAUAUGAGAUGUUCCAGGAGUUGAAGUUAAUAUUUCAAACAAAUGCCCGUAUUGAGAGAUAUGAAGUCUCCAAUAAGUUCUACAGCUGCAAGAUGGAGGAGAAUAGUUCUGCCAGUGAGCAUAUACUCAAAAUGUUUGGGUAUAAUAAUCACAUGAUUCAACUGGGAGUUAAUCUUCUGGAUGAUAGCGUCAUUGAUAGAAUUCUCCAAUCACUGCCACCAUGCUACAAGAGCUUAGUGAUGAACUAUAAUAUGCAAGGGAUGGAUAAGACGAUUCCCGAGCUCUUCGCAAUGCUAAAGGCUACGGAGGUAGAAAUCAAGAAGGAGCAUCAAGUGUUGAUGGUCAAUAAGACCACCAGUUUCAAGAAAAAGGGCAAAGGGAAGAAGAAGGGGAACUUCAAGAAGAACAGCAAGCAAGUUGCUGCUCAAGAGAAGAAACCCUCGUCUAGACCUAAACCUAAGACUGAGUGCUUCUACUGCAAGCAGACUGGUCACUGGAAGCGGAACUGCCCCAAGUAUUUGGCUGAUAAGAAGGAUGGAAAGGUGAACAAAGGUAUAUGUGAUAUACAUGUUAUUGAUGUGUACCUUACUAAUGCUCGCAGUAGUACCUGGGUAUUUGAUACUGGUUUUGUUGCUAAUAUUUGCAACUCUAAACAGGGACUACGGAUUAUGCGAAGAUUGGCUAAGGACGAGGUGACGACGCGCGUGGGAAAUGGUUCCAAAGUCGAUGUGAUCGCGGUCGGCGUGCUACCUCUACAUCUACCUUCGGGAUUAGUUUUAGACCUAAAUAAUUAUUAUUUGGUGCCAGCGUUAAGCAUGAACAUUAUAUCUGGAUCUUGUUUGAUGCGAGACGGUUAUUCAUUUAAAUCAGAGAAUAAUGGUUGUUCUAUUUAUAUGAGUAAUAUAUUUUAUGGUCAUGUACCCUUGAAGAGUGGUCUAUUUUUGUUGAAUCUCGAUAGUAGUGAUACACAUAUUCAUAAUAUUGAAGCCAAAAGAUGCAGAGUUGAUAAUGAUAGGGAAACUUAUUUGUCGCAGUGCUGUUUAGGUCAUAUCGGUGUAAAGCGCAUGAAGAAACUCCAUACUGAUGGACUUUUUGAACCACUUGAUUAUGAAUCACUUGGUACAUGCGAACCAUGCCUCAUGGGCAAGAUGACUAAAACGCCAUUCUCCGGAACUAUGGAGCGAGCAACAGAUUUGUUGGAAAUCAUACAUACAGAUGUAUGUGGUCCGAUGAAUGUUGAGGCUCGCGGCGGGUAUCAUUAUUUUCUCACCUUCACAGAUGAUUUAAGCAGAUAUGGGUAUAUCUACUUAAUGAAACAUAAGUCUGAAACAUUUGAAAAGUUCAAAGAAUUUCAGAGUGAAGUUGAAAAUCAUCAUAACAAGAAAAUAAAGUUUCUAUGAUCUGAUCAUGGAGGAAAAUAUUUGAAUUACGAUUUUGGUCUUCAUUUGAAACAAUGCGGAAUAGUUUCACAACUCACGCCACCCGGAACACCACAGCGUAAUGGUGUGUCCGAAUGUUGUAAUCGUACUUUACUUGAUAUGGUGCGAUCUAUGAUGUCUCUUACUGAUUUACCGCUAUCGUUUUGGGGUUAUGCUUUAGAGAUGGCUGCAUUCACGUUAAAUACGACACCGUCAAAAUCCAUUGAGACGACGCCUUAUGAACUAUGGUUUGGCAAGAAACCAAAUUUGUCAUUUCUUAAAGUUUGGGGCUGCGAUGCUUAUGUGAAAAAACUUCAACCUGAUAAGCUCGAACCCAAAUCGGAAAAAUGUGUCUUCACAGGAUACCCAAAAGAGACAGUUGGGUACACCUUCUAUCACAGAUCCGAAGGCAAGACUUUUGUUGCUAAAUUCUGAAUCUUUCUAGAGAAGGAGUUUCUCUCGAAAGAAGUGAGUGGGAGGAAAGUAGAACUUGAUGAGGUAACUGUACCUGGUCCUCAAUUGGAAAGUAGUUCAUCACAGAAACCGGUUUCUGCGACACCUACACCAAUUAGUUGAGAAGUUAAUAAUGAUGAUCAUGAAACUUCAGAUCAAGUUGUUACUGAACCUCGUAGAUCAACCAUAGAAAGAUCCGCACCAGAGUGGUACGUUAAUCCUGUUCUGGAAGUCAUGUUACUAGACCAUGAUGAACCUACGAACCAUGAAGAAGCGAUGGUGAGCCCAGAUUCCGCAAAAUGGCUUGAGGCCAUGAAAUCUAAGAUGGGAUCCAUGUAUGAGAACAAAGUAUGGACUUUGGUUGACUUGCCCGAUGAUUGGCAAGCCAUUGAGAAUAAAUGGAUCUUCAAGAAGAAGACUGGCACUGACGGUAAUGUUACUGUCUAUAAAGCUUGACUUGUUGCGAAAGGUUUUCGACAAGUUCAAGGGAUUGACUAUGAUGAGACCUUCUCACCCGUAGCGAUGCUUAAGUAUGUCCGAAUCAUAUUAGAAAUUGCCGCAUUUUAUGAUUAUGAAAUUUGGCAAAUGGAUGUAAAAACUGCAUUCCUGAAUGAGUUGUAUAUGAUGCAACCAGAAGGUUUUGUCGAUCCAAAGGGAGCUAACAAAGUGUGCAAGCUCCAGCGAUCCAUUUAUGGACUGGUGCAAGCUUCUCGGAGUUGGAAUAAAUGUUUUGAUAGUGUGAUCAAAGCAUUUGGUUUUAUACAAACUUUUGGAGAAGCCUGUAUUUACAAGAAAGUGAGUGGGAGCUCUGUAGCAUUUCUAAUAUUAUAUGUGGAUGACAUAUUGCUGAUUGGAAAUGAUAUAGAAUUUCUGGAUAGGAUAAAGGGAUACUUGAAUAAGAGUUUUUCAAUGAAAGACCUCGGUGAAGCUGCAUAUAUAUUGGGCAUUAAGAUCUAUAGAGAUAGAUCAAGACGCUUAAUUGGACUUCCACAAAGCACAUACCUUGACAAAGUUUUGAAGAAGUUCAAAAUAGAUCAAACAAAGAAAGGGUUCUUGCCUGUGUUACAAGGUGAGAAGUUGAGCAAGACUCAAUGCAAACCACUUCAAAAGAUAGAGAGAAGAAGAAAGAUGUUCCCUAUGCUUCAGCCAUAGGCUCUAUCAUGUAUGCAAUGCUGUGUACCAGACCUGAUGUGUGCCUUGCUAUAAGUCUAGCAGGGAGGUACCAAAGUAAUCCAGGAGUGGAUCACUGGACAGCGGUCAAGAACAUCCUGAAAUACCUGAAAAGGACUAAGGAUAUGUUUCUCAUUUAUGGUGGUGACAAAGAGCUCAUCGUAAACGGUUACGUUGAUGCAAGCUUUGAUACUGAUCCGGACGAUUCUAAAUCGCAAACCGGAUACGUGUUUACAUUGAAUGGUGGAGCUGUCAGUUGAUGCAGUUCUAAACAAAGCGUCGUGGCGGAAUCUACGUGUGAAGCGGAGUACAUAGCUCCUUCGGAAGCAGCAAAUGAAGGAGUCUGGAUGAAGGAGUUCAUAUCCGAUCUAGGUGUCAUACCUAGUGCAUCGGGUCCAAUGAAAAUCUUUUGUGACAAUACUGGUGCAAUUGCCUUGGCGAAGGAAUCCAGAUUUCACAAGAGAACCAAGCACAUCAAGAGACGCUUCAAUUCCAUUCAGGAUCUAGUCUAGGUGGGAGACAUAGAAAUUUGCAAGAUACAUACGGAUCUGAAUGUUGCAGACCCGUUGACUAAGCCUCUUCCACGAGCAAAACAUGAUCAGCACCAAGACUCCAUGGGUGUUAGAAUCAUUACUGUGUAAUCUAGAUUAUUGACUCUAGUGCAAGUGGGAGAGUGAAGGAAAUAUGCCCUAGAGGCAAUAAUAAAGUUAUUAUUUACUUCCUUAUAUCAUGAUAAAUGUUUAUUAUUCAUGCUAGAAUUGCAUUAACCGGAAACAUAAUACUUGUGUGAAUACAUAGACAAACAGAGUGUCACUAGUAUGCCUCUACUUGACUAGCUCGUUAAUCGAAGAUGGUUAUGUUUCCUAACCAUAGACAUGUGUUGUCAUUUGAUUAACGGGAUCACAUCAUUAGGAGAAUGAUGUGAUUGACAUGACCCAUUCCAUUAGCUUAGCACCCGAUCGUUUAGUAUGUUGCUAUUGCUUUCUUCAUGACUUAUACAUGUUCCUAAGACUAUGAGAUUAUGUAACUCCCGUUUGCUGGAGGAACACUUUGUGUGCUACCAAACGUCACAACGUAACUGGGUGAUUAUAAAGGAGCUCUACAGGUGUCUCCAAAGGUACAUGUUGGGUUGCGUAUUUCGAGAUUAGGAUUUGUCACUCCGAUUGUCGGAGAGGUAUCUCUGGGCCCUCUCGGUAAUGCACAUCACAUAAGCCUUGCAAUCAUUGCAACUAAUGAGUUAGUUGCGAGAUGAUGUAUUACGGAACGAGUAAAGAGACUUGCCGGUAACGAGAUUGAACUAGGUAUUGAGAUACCAACGAUCGAAUCUCGGGCAAGUAACAUACCGAUGACAAAGGGAACAAUGUAUGUUGUUAUGCGGUCUGACCGACAAAGAUCUUCGUAGAAUAUGUAGGAGCCAAUAUGAGCAUCCAGGUUCCGCUAUUGGUUAUUGACCGGAGACGUGUCUCGGUCAUGUCUACAUUGUUCUCGAACCCGUAGGGUCCGCACGCUUAACAUUACGAUGACAGUUUCAUUAUGAGUUUAUAUAUUUUGAUGUACCGGAGUUUGUUCGGAGUCCCGGAUGUGAUCACGGACAUGAUGAGGAGUCUUGAAAUGGUCGAGACAUAAAGAUUGAUAUAAUGGACGGCUAUAUUCGGACACCGGAAGUGUUCCGGAGAAGUUCCGGAUAAAACCGGAGUACCGGGGGGUUACCGGAACCCCCCCGGGGGUUAAUGGGCCUCAUGGGCCCAAAGUGGAGAAGAGGAGGGGCGGCCAGGGCAGGCCGGGCGCCCCCUCCCCCUCUAGUCCGAAUUGGACAAGGAGGGGGGCGGCGCCCCCCCCCCCUUUCCUUCCUCUCCUCUCUCCCUUCCUUCCCCCUCUCCUAGUUGGAGAAGGAAAAGGAGGGAGUCCUACUCCCGGUAGGAGUAGGACUCCUCCCUAGCGCGCCUCCUCCUGGCCGGCCGCCCCUCCCCCUUGCUCCUUUAUAUACGGGGGCAGGGGGGCACCUCUAGAAACAAGUUGAUCUUCGUGAUCGUUCUCUUAGCCGUGUGUGGUGCCCCCCCUCCACCAUAAUCCUCGAUAAUAUUGUAGCGGUGCUUAGGCGAAGCCCUGCGACGGUAGAACAUCAAGAUCGUCACCACGCCGUCGUGCUAACGGAACUCUUCCCCGACACUUUGCUGGAUCGGAGUCUGGGGAUCGUCAUUGAGCUGAACGUGUGCUAGAACUCGGAGGUGCUGUAGUUUCCGUGCUUGAUCGGUCGGGCCGUGAAGACGUACGACUACAUCAACCGCGUUGUCAUAACGCUUCCACUGUCGGUCUAUGAGGGUACGUAGAUAACACUCUCCCAUCUUGUUGCUAUGCAUCACCAUGAUCUUGCGUGUGCAUAGGAAUUUUUUUUGAAAUUACUACGUUACCCAACAGUGGCAUCCGAGCCUGUUUUAUGUGUUGAUGUUAUAUGCACGAGUAGAACACAAGUGAGUUGUGGGCGAUAAAAGUCAUACUGCUUACCAGCAUGUCAUACUUUGGUUCGGCGGUAUUGUUGGAUGAAGCGGCCCGGACCGACAUUACGCGUACGCUUACGCGAGACUAGUUCUACCGACGUGCUUUGCACACAGGUGGCUGGCGAGUGUCAGUUUCUCCAACUUUAGUUGAACUGAGUGUGGCUACGCCCGGUCCUUGCGAAGGUUAAAACAGCACCAACUUGACGAACUAUCAUUGUGGUUUUGAUGCGUAGGUAAGAUUGGUUCUUGCUUAAGCCCGUAGCAGCCACGUAAAAUUUGCAACAAACAAAGUAGAGGACGUCUAACUUGUUUUUGCAGGGUAUGUUGUGAUGUGAUAUGGUCAAGGCAUGAUGCGAAAUUUUAUUGUAUGAGAUGAUCAUGUUUUGUAACCAAGUUAUCGGCAACUGGCAGGAGCCAUAUGGUUGUCGCUUUAUUGUAUGCAAUGCAAUCGCCCUGUAAUGCUUUACUUUAUCACUAAGCGGUAGCGAUAGUCGUAGAAGCAUAAGAUUGGCGAGAUGACAACGAUGCUACGAUGGAGAUCAAGGUGUCGCGCCGGUGACGAUGGUGAUCAUGACGAUGCUUCGGAGAUGGAGAUCACAAGCACAAGAUGAUGAUGGCCAUAUCAUAUCACUUAUAUUGAUUGCAUGUGAUGUUUAUCUUUUAUGCAUCUUAUCUUGCUUUGAUUGACGGUAGCAUUAUAAGAUGAUCUCUCACUAAAUUUCAAGAUAAAAGUGUUCUCCCUGAGUAUGCACCAUUGCCAAAGUUCGUCGUGCCCAGACACCACGUGAUGAUCGGGUGUGAUAAGCUCUACGUCCAUCAACAAUGGGUGCAAGCCAGUUUUGCACACGCAGAAUACUCAGGUUAAACUUGACGAGCCUAGCAUAUGCAGAUAUGGCCUCGGAACACUGAGACCGAAAGUUCGAGCGUGAAUCAUAUAGUAGAUAUGAUCAACAUAGUGAUGUUCACCAUUGAAAACUACUCCAUUUCAUGUGAUGAUCGGUUAUGGUUUAGUUGAUUUGGAUCACGUGAUCACUUAGAAGAUUAGAGGGAUGCCUUUCUGAGUGGGAGUUCUUAAGUAAUAUGAUUAAUUGAACUUAAAUUUAUCAUGAACUUAGUAACUGAUAGUAUCUUGCUUAUUUAUGUUUGAUUGUAGAUAGAUGGCCCGUGUUAUUGUUCCGUUGAAUUUUAAUGCGUUCCUUGAGAAAGCAAAGUUGAAAGAUGAUGGUAGCAAUUACACGGACUGGGUCCGUAACUUGAGGAUUAUCCUCAUUGCUGCACAAAAGAAUUACGUCCUGGAAGCACCGCUGGGUGCCAGGCCUGUUGCUGAUGCAACUGACGACGUUAAGAACGUCUGGCAGAGCAAAGCUGAUGACUACUCGAUAGUUCAAUGUGCCAUGCUUUAUGGCUUAGAAUCGGGUCUUCAACGAUGUUUUGAACGUCAUGGAGCAUAUGAGAUGUUCCAGGAGUUGAAGUUAAUAUUUCAAGCAAAUGCCCGGAUUGAGAGAUAUGAAGUCUCCAAUAAGUUCUAUAGCUGCAAGAUGGAGGAGAACAGUUCUGUCUGUGAGCAUAUACUCAAAAUGUCUGGGUAUAAUAAUCACUUGAUUCAAUUGGGAGUUAAUCUUCCAGAUGAUUGCGUCAUUGACAGAAUUCUCCAAUCACUUCCACCUAGCUACAAGAGCUUCGUGAUGAACUAUAAUAUGCAAGUGAUGGAUAAGACAAUUCCCGAGCUCUUCGCGAUGCUGAAAGCUGCGAAGGUAGAAAUCAAAAAGGAGCAUCAAGUGUUGAUGGUCAACAAGACCACUAGUUUCAAGAAAAAGGGCAAAGGGAAAAAGAAGGGGAACUUCAAGAAGAACAUCAAGCAAGUUGCUGCUCAAGAGAAGAAACCCAAGUCUGGACCUAAGCCUGAAACUGAGUGCUUCUACUGCAAGCAGACUGGUCACUGGAAGCGGAACUGCCCCAAGUAUUUGGCGGAUAAGAAGGAUGGCAAGGUGAACAAAGGUAUAUGUGAUAUACAUGUUAUUGAUGUGUACCUUACUAGAGCUCGCAGUAGCACCUGGGUAUUUGAUACUGGUUCUGUUGCUAAUAUUUGCAACUCGAAACAGGGACUACUGAUUAAGCGAACACUGGCGAAGGACAAGGUGACGAUGCGCGUGGGAAAUGGUUCCAAAGUCGAUGUGAUCGCGGUCGGCACGCUACCUCUACAUCUACCAUCGGGAUUAGUAUUAGACCUAAAUAAUUGUUAUUUGGUGCCAGCGUUGAGCAUGAACAUUAUAUCUGGAUCUUGUUUGAUGCGAGAUGGUUAUUCAUUUAAAUCAGAGAAUAAUGGUUGUUCUAUUUAUAUGAGUAAUAUCUUUUGUGGUGAUGCACCCUUGAAGAGUGGUCUAUUUUUGAUGAAUCUCGAUAGUAGUGAUACACAUAUUCAUAAUGUUGAAGCCAAAAGAUGCAGAGUUGAUAAUGAUAGUGCGACUUAUUUGUGGCACCACCGUUUAGGUCAUAUCGAUGUAAAGCGCAUGAAGAAACUCCAUACUGAUGGACUUUUGGAACCACUUGAUUAUGAAUCACUUGGUACUUGCGAACCGUGCCUCAUGGGCAAGAUGACUAAAACACCAUUCUCCGGUACUAUGGAGAGAGCAACAGAUUUGUUGGAAAUCAUACAUACAGAUGUAUGUGGUCCAAUGAAUGUUGAAGCUCGUGGCAGAUAUCGUUAUUUUCUCACUUUCACAGAUGAUUUAAGCAGAUAUGGGUAUAUCUACUUAAUGAAAUAUAAGUCUGAAACAUUUGAAAAGUUCAAAGAAUUUCAGAGUGAAGUUGAAAAUCAUCAUAACAAGAAAAUAAAGUUUCUACAAUCUGAUCGUGGAGGAGAAUAUUUGAGUUACGAGUUUGGUCUACAUUUGAAACAAUGCGGAAUAGUUUCGCAACUCACGCCACCCAGAACACCACAGUGUAAUGGUGUGUCCGAACGUCGUAAUCGUACUUUACUUGAUAUGGUGCGAUCUAUGAUGUCUCUUACGGAUUUACCGCUAUCAUUUUGGGGUUAUGCUUUAGAGACGGCCGCAUUCACGUUAAAUAGGUCACCAUCAAAAUCCAUUGAGACGACGCCUUAUGAACUGUGGUUUGGCAAGAAACCAAAAUUGUCGUUUCUGAAAGUUUGGGGCUGCGAUGCUUAUGUGAAAAAGCUUCAACCUGAUAAGCUCGAACCCAAAUCGGAGAAAUGUGUCUUCAUAGGAUACCCAAAGGAGACUGUUGGGUACACCUUCUAUCACAGAUCUGAAGGCAAGACAUUUGUCGCCAAGAAUGGAUCCUUUCUAGAGAAGGAGUUUCUCUCGAAAGAAGUGAGUGGGAGGAAAGUAGAACUUGAUGAGGUAACUGUACCUGAUCCCUUAUUGGAAAGUAGUACAUCACAGAAACCGGUUUCUGUGACACCUACACCAAUUAGUGAGGAAACUAAUGAUGAUGAUCAUGAAACUUCAGAACAAGUUACUACUGAACCUCGUAGAUCAACCAGAGUAAGAUCCGCACCAGAGUGGUACGGUAAUCCUGUUCUGGAAGUCAUGCUACUAGAUCAUGAUGAACCUACAAAGUAUGAAGAAGCGAUGGUGAGCCCAGAUUCCGCAAAAUGGCUUGAAGCCAUGAAAUCUGAGAUGGGAUCCAUGUAUGAGAACAAAGUGCGGACUUUGGUUGACUUGCCCAAUGAUCGGCAAGCAAUAGAGAAAUAAAUGGAUCUUCAAGAAGAAGACUGACGCUGACGGUAAUGUUACUGUCUACAAAGCUCGACUUGUCGCAAAAGGUUUUCGACAAGUUCAAGGGAUUAACUACGAUGAGACCUUCUCACCCGUAGCGAUGCUUAAGUCUGUCCGAAUCAUGUUAGCAAUUGCCGCAUUUUAUGAUUAUGAAAUUUGGCAGAUGGAUGUCAAAACUGCAUUCCUGAAUGGAUUUCUGGAAGAAGAGUUGUAUAUGAUGCAGCCGGAAGGUUUUGUCGAUCCAAAAGGAGCUAACAAAGUGUGCAAGCUCCAGCGAUCCAUUUAUGGACUGGUGCAAGCCUCUCAGAGUUGGAAUAAACGCUUUGAUAGUGUGAUCAAAGCAUUUGGGUUUGUACAGACUUUUGGAGAAGCCUGUAUUUACAAGAAAGUGAGUGGGAGCUCUGUAGCAUUUCUGAUAUUAUAUGUGGAUGACUUAUUACUAAUCGGAAAUGAUAUAGAAUUUCUGGAUAGCAUAAAGGGAUACUUGAAUAAGAGUUUUUUAAUGAAAGACCUCGGUGAAGUUGCUUACAUAUUGGGCAUUAAGAUCUAUAGAGAUAGAUCAAGAUGCUUAAUUGGACUUUCACAAAGCACAUACCUUGACAAAGUUUUGAAGAAGUUCAAAAUGGAUCAAGCAAAGAAAGGAUUCUUGCCUGUGUUACAAGGUGUGAAAUUGAGUAAGACUCAAUUCCCGACCACUGCAGAAGAUAGAGAGAAAAUGAAAGAUGUUCCCUAUGCUUCAGCCAUAGGCUCUAUCAUGUAUGUAAUGUUGUGUACCAGACCUGAUGUGUGUCUUGCUAUAAGUCUAGCAGGGAGGUACCAAAGUAAUCCAGGAGUGGAUCACUAGACAGCGGUCAAGAACAUCCUGAAAUACCUGAAAAGGACUAAGGAUAUGUUUCUCGUAUAUGGAGGUGACAAAGAGCUCAUCGUAAAUGGUUACGUUGAUGCAAGCUUUGACACUGAUCCGGACGAUUCUAAAUCGCAAACCAGAUAUGUGUUUACAUUAAACGGUGGAGCUGUCAGUUGGUGCAGUUCUAAACAAAGCGUUGUAGCGGGAUCUACAUGUGAAGCAGAGUACAUAGCUGCUUCGGAAGCAGCAAACGAAGGAGUCUGGAUGAAGGAGCUCAUAUCCGUUCUAGGUGUCAUACCUAGUGCAUCGGGUCCAAUGGAAAUCUUUUGUGACAAUACUAGUGCAAUUGCAUUGGCAAAGGGAUCCAGAUUUCACAAGAGAACCAAGCACAUCAAGAGACGCUUCAAUUCCAUUCGGGAUCUAGUCCAGGUGGGAGACAUGGAGAUUUGCAAGAUACUACGAAUCUGAAUGUAGCAGACCCGUUGACUAAGCCUCUUCCACGAGCAAAACAUGAUCAGUACCAAAGCUCCAUGGGUGUUAGACUCAUUACUGUGUAAUCUAGAUUAUUGACUCUAGUGCAAGUGGGAGACUGAAGGAAAUAUGCCCUAGAGGCAAUAAUAAAGUUAUUAUUUAUUUCCUUAUAUCAUGAUAAAUGUUUAUUAUUCAUGCUAGAAUUGUAUUAACCGGAAACAUAAUACUUGUGUGAAUACAUAGACAAACUAAAUGUCACUAGUAUGCCUCUACUUGACUAGCUCGUUAAUCGAAGAUGGUUAUGUUUCCUAACCAUAGACAUGUGUUGUCAUUUGAUUAACGGGAUCACAUCAUUAGGAGAAUGAUGUGAUUGACAUGACCCAUUCCAUUAGCUUUGCACCCGAUCGUUUAGUAUGUUGCUAUUGCUUUCUUCAUGACUUAUACAUGUUCCUAAGACUAUGAGAUUAUGCAACUCCCGUUUGCUGGAGGAACACUUUGUGUGCUACCAAACGUCACAACGUAACUGGGUGAUUAUAAAGGAGCUCUACAGGUGUCUCCAAAGGUACAUGUUGGGUUGGCGUAUCUCUGGGCCCUCUCGGUAAUGCACAUCACAUAAGCCUUGCAAUCAUUGCAACUAAUGAGUUAGUUGCGAGAUGAUGUAUUAUGGAACGAGUAAAGAGACUUGCUGGUAACGAGAUUGAACUAGGUAUUGAGAUACCGACGAUCGAAUCUCGGGCAAGUAACAUAUCGAUGACAAAGGGAACAACAUAUAUUGUUAUGCGGUCUGACCGAUAAAGAUCUUCAUAGAAUAUGUAGGAGCCAAUAUGAGCAUCCAGGUUCCGCUAUUGGUUAUUGACCGGAGACGUGUCUCGGUCAUGUCUACAUUGUUCUCGAACCCGUAGGGUCCGCACGCUUAACGUUACGAUGACAGUUUCAUUAUGAGUUUAUAUAUUUUGAUGUACCGAUGUUUGUUCGGAGUCCCGGAUGUGAUCACGGACAUGGAGAGGAGUCUCGAAAUGGUCGAAACAUAAAGAUUGAUAUAUUGGACGGCUAUAUACGGACACCGGAAGUGUUUCGGAGAAGUUUCGGAUAAAACCGGAGUACCGGGGGGUUACCGGAACCCCCCCCCCCCCGGGGUUAAUGGGCCUCAUGGGCCCAAAGUGGAGAAGAGGAGGGGCAGCCAGGGCAGGCCGCGCGCCCCCUCCCCCUCUAGUCCGAAUUGGACAAGGAGGGGGGGCGGCACCCCCCAUUUCCUUCCUCUCCUCUCUCCCUUCCUUCCCCCUCUCCUAGUUGGACAAGGAAAAGGAGGGAGCCCUACUCCCGGUAGGAGUAGGACUCCUCCCUGGCGCGCCUCCUCCUGGCCGGCCGCCCCUCCCCCUUGCUCCUUUAUAUACGGGGGCAGGGGGCACCUCUAGACACAAGUUGAUCUUCGUGAUCGUUCUCUUAGCCGUGUGUGGUGCCCCUCUCCACCAUAAUCCUCGAUAAUAUUGUAGCGGUGCUUAGGCGAAGCCCUGCGAUGGUAGAACAUCAAGAUCGUCACCACGCCGUCGUGCUAACGGAACUCAUCCCCGACACUUUGCUGGAUCAGAGUCCGGGGAUCGUCAUCGAGCUGAACAUGUGCUAGAACUCGGAGGUGUCGUAGUUUAGGUGCUUGAUCGGUCGGGCCGUGAAGACGUACGACUACAUCAACCGCGUUGUCAUAACGCUUCCGCUGUCGGUCUAUGAUGGUACGUAGAUAACACUCUCCCCUCUCGUUGCUAUGCAUCACCAUGAUCUUGCGUGUGCAUAGGAAAUUUUUUGAAAUUACUACGUUACCCAACACAUGCAACCACCAGCACCACAACCACCAGGUCGUCCACAUGCAAAUAAUGGCAAUGUUAGGGCUCCCCCUCAGGUACGAGAUCAUGACCAUCUCCCUAAACUGAAAUUGAAUAUUCCACCAUUUGAGGGUAGAUAUGUUCCUGAUAUAUAUCUUACUUGGGAGUUAGAAACUGAACAACGAUUUACAUGUUUACAAUAUCCUGAGGAGAGACGUGUUCCUGCUGCUGUUUGUGCUUUCACUAGCUUUGCAUGUGUUUGGUGGUCUGAACAUUGUAGAUUAUAUCAUGUUCCAGCUACUUGGGCUGCUUUGAAAACUGCUAUGCAUACUCGUUGGGUUCCACCAUAUUAUCAACGUGAAUUACUUCAAAAAUUGUAGUGCUUAAGACAAGGAAAAAAUUCUGUAGAAGAAUAUUAUCAGGAAUUACAAACUGGCUUGAUUAGAUGUGGUAUUGUUGAGGAGAAUGAAGCUAUGCUUGCACGUUUUCUGGGUGGAUUAAAUAGAGAGAUUCAGACCAUUCUAGACUAUAAGGAUUAUAAUAAUAUCACUCGUUUAUUCCAUCUUGCUUGUAAAGCUGAACGUGAAGUGCAGGAUCGACAGGCAUUGGCGCGAACUAACUUUUCUGCAGGUCGACCUUCAUCAUGGACACCACGUGCAUCCUCUACUUCCACUACACCAUCACCUCCUUCAGGUGCCACCUCCAACCAUGAUACAAGAAAGCAGGCACAACCACCACUAUCUGCUAAGAGGACACCUGUCGGGCCUGCACAGAGCUCUUCUUCUUCCAUGGCAUCUACAGGGCACACAAGUGAUAUUAUUUGUCGUCGUUGUAAGGGAAGAGGACAUUUUGCAAGAUGCAAAUCUCAGCGUGUGAUGAUUGCUACUGAGGAUGGUGGGUAUGAGUCCGCUAGUGACUAUGAUGAGGAGACCUUGGCUCUUAUUACACGUGAAGAACACGGUGGAGAUGAUUCUGAUCAUGAGACGCAAUACAUGGCUGCUGAAAAUGCUGACAGGUAUGAAUGUUUAGUUGCUCAACAUGUUUUGAGUGUGCAGGUCACGCAAGCUGAGCAAAAUCAGAGGCAUAAUUUGUUCCAUACAAAGGGAGUUGUGAAGGAACGUUCUAUUCGCGUCAUCAUAGAUGGAGGGAGCUGCAACAACUUGGCUAGCAUGGAGAUGGUGGAGAAGCUAUCUCUCACCACAAGACCACAUCCACAUCCUUACUACAUCCAAUGGUUCAACAACAGCGGCAAGGUUAAGGUAACACGUACUGUUCGUGUGCAUUUUAGUAUCUCUACAUAUGCUGAUUAUGUUGAUUGUGAUGUGGUACCUAUGCAAGCAUGUUCCUUAUUACUUGGUAGACCAUGGCAAUUUGAUAAAAAAAAUUGUACACCAUGGUAGAAACAAUCAGUAUACUCUUGUUAAUAAGGACAAAAAUAUUACUUUGCUUCCUAUGACUCCUGAUUCCAUUUUGAAAGAUGAUAUUAAUAGAGCUAAUAAAGCAAAACAGGAGAAAAAUAAGAGUGAAAAUCAGAUUGUGGCAAAAGAAUUUGAGCAACAAAUGAAGCCUAAUAAUAAACCAUCUAUUGUUGCUUCAGAAAUUAAAUUGAAAAGUGCAUGUUUACUUGCCACCAAAUCUGAUAUUGAUGAGCUAGAUUCUAACAAAUCUGUUUGCUAUGCUUUCGUGUGCAAAGAGGCAUUAUUUUCAUUCGAGGAUGUGCCUUCCUCUUUGCCCCCUGCUGUCACUAACAUUUUGCAGGAGUUCGCUGACGUCUUCCCACAAGACGUGCCACCGGGAUUACCACCUAUUCGAGGGAUUGAGCAUCAAAUUGACUUAAUUCCCGGUGCAUCGCUACCCAACCGUGCACCAUACCGUACCAAUCCAGAGGAGACGAAGGAGAUUAUGCGUCAAGUACAGGAGCUGCUCGACAAAGGUUAUAUAUGCGAAUCUCUUAGUCCUUGUGCUGUUCCUAUUAUACUAGUGCCUAAAAAGGAUGGUACAUCGCGUAUGUGUGUUGAUUGUAGAGGCAUUAAUAAUAUUACUAUUCGUUAUCGUCAUCCUAUUCCUAGGCUAGAUGAUAUGCUUGAUGAAUUGAGUGGCUCUACAAUAUUCUCCAAAGUUGAUUUGCGUAGUGGAUACCAUCAAAUUCGUAUGAAAUUGGGAGAUGAAUGGAAAACAGCAUUUAAAACUAAGUUUGGUUUAUAUGAGUGGUUAGUCAUGCCUUUUGGGUUAACUAAUGCACCUAGUACUUUCAUGAGACUAAUGAAAGAAGUUUUACGUGCUUUCAUUGGACGAUUUGUGGUAGUCUAUUUUGAUGAUAUACUGAUUUAUAGCAAAUCUUUGGAAGAACAUUUGGAACAUUUACGUGCUGUUUUUAAUGCUCUACGUGAUGCACGUUUGUUUGGUAACCUUGGGAAGUGCACCUUUUGCACCGACCGAGUAUCUUUUCUUGGCAUGUUGUUACUCCACAGGGAAUUGAAGUUGAUAAAGCCAAGAUUGAAGCUAUUGAGAGUUGGUCGCGACCCAAAACGGUCACACAAGUGAGGAGUUUUCUUGGACUUACUGGUUUCUAUAGGUGUUUUGUGAGAGAUUUUAGCACCAUUGCUGCACCUCUCAAUGAGCUUACAAAGAAGGAUGUGCCUUUUGUUUGGGUUACCGCACAAGAAGAAGCCUUCACGGUAUUGAAAGAUAAGUUGACACAUGCUCCUUUACUCCAACUUCCUGACUUUAAUAAGACUUUUGAGCUUGAAUGUGAUGCUAGUGGAAUUGGAUUAGGAGGUGUGUUAUUACAAGAUGGCAAACCUGUUGCAUACUUUUCUGAAAAAUUGAGUGGGCCUAGUCUGAACUAUUCUACUUAUGAUAAAGAAUUAUAUGCUCUUGUUGGGACUUCAGAGACAUGGCAACAUUAUUUAUGGCCCAAAGAAUUUGUUAUACAUUCUGAUCAUGAAUCUUUGAAACAUAUUAAAAGUCAAGCUAAACUGAAUCGUAGACAUGCUAAAUGGGUUGAAUUCAUUGAGACUUUCCCUUAUGUCAUUAAACACAAGAAGGGUAAAGAAAAUGUUAUUGCUGAUGCUUUGUCUCAUCGCUAUACUAUGCUUUCACAACUUGACUUCAAAAUAUUUGGUUUGGAGACCAUCAAAGAUCAAUAUGUGCAUGAUGCUGAUUUUAAAGAUGUAAUGCAGAAUUGUAAAGAAGGAAGAACAUGGAACAAGUUCGUUAUUAAUGAUGGCUUUGUGUUCCGUGCUAACAAGCUAUGCAUUCCUGCUAGCUCUGUUCGUCUUUUGUUGUUGCAGGAGGCGCAUGGAGGAGGAUUAAUGGGACACUUUGGCGUGAAGAAGACGGAGGACGUACUUGCUACACAUUUCUUUUGGCCAAAGAUGAGACGGGAUGUUGAGCGUUUUGUUGCUCGCUGCACUACAUGUCAAAAAGCUAAGUCACGACUCAAUCCUCAUGGUUUAUAUAUGCCUUUGCCUGUGCCUAGUGUUCCUUGGGAGGAUAUAUCUAUGGACUUUGUUUUAGGUUUACCUCGAACAAAGAAGGGGAGGGAUAGCAUAUUUGUUGUCGUGGAUAGAUUCUUGAAAAUGGCACACUUUAUACCAUGUCAUAAAAGCGAUGAUGCUGUUAAUGUUGCUGAUUUGUUCUUUCAUGAAAUUAUUCGCUUGCAUGGUGUGCCAAAUACUAUUGUUUCAGAUCGUGAUACUAAAUUUCUUAGCCACUUUUGGAUAUGUUUAUGGGCUAAGUUGGGGACUAAACUGCUUUUUAGUACUACUUGUCACCCCCAAACGGAUGGUCAAACUGAAGUAGUCAAUAGAUUGUCUACUAUGCUUAGGGCUGUUUUGAAGAAUAAUAAGAAAAUGUGAGAAGAAUGCUUGCCUCAUAUUGAAUUUGCUUAUAAUCGUUCGUUGCAUUCUACUACUAAGAUGUGCCCUUUUGAAAUUGUGUAUGGUUUCCUACCUCGUGCACCCAUUGAUUUGUUGCCUCUUCUAUCUUCGGAGAAGGUUAAUUUUGAUGCCAAACAAUGUGCUGAAUUGAUCUUAAAAAUGCAUGAGUUAACUAAGGACAACAUUGAGCGUAUGAAUGCUAAAUAUAAACUUGUUGGAGAUAAGGGUAGAAAACAUGUUGCCUUUGCACCUGGAGAUCUUGUUUGGUUACAUUUGCGUAAGGGUAGGUUUCCUAAUUUGCGCAAAUCAAAGCUAAUGCCAUGUGCUGAUGGUCCUUUUAAGGUGUUAGAGAAAAUAAAUGAUAAUGCAUAUAAACUUGAGCUGCCUGCGGAUUUUGGGGUUAGUCCCACUUUCAACAUUGCAGAUUUGAAGCCUUAUUUGGGUGAGGAAGAUGAGCUUCUGUCGAGGACGACUUCAUUUCAAAAAGGGGAGGAUGAUGAGGACAUCAAUACCAUUGUUACACCCACAGCCCCUACUACUACAUAUACAGGACCAAUUACUAGAGCUCGCGCACGCCAAUUAAAUUAUCAGGUACUUUCGUUUCUUGGUAAUGAUUCUAAUGUUCAUGAGAAUAUGAUGCUGCCUAAAUUGGAUACAUUUGUUUUGCUUAAAAAUGAAGGGCCUGGCAUGGAUAAGAGGGAUGAACAUUGGAGCAAGAACAAGCAUGGAGUUGAUGGCAUGCGCAAGGGGAACAAGAACGGAGUUACAAGUGAUGAUUUCAGGACAUUGAAGCCACCAUAAUGAGUGCAUGAAGCCUUGGACGAAAUAUACAAGAUGCCACUUCAUAAACUUCGUCCAGAGGCUAUUCUAGGUGCUGUGUCACCUUAUUAUUGGGCCAGGCCCAUGUAAUUUUAAAAUACAUAAGUAUAGGCUGUUUUUAGAGUCCGUAUGUGUGGGGAAACAAGAGAUAGGGUUGGUUUCGAACCCCUUCCCCAAGGGCCANNNNNNNNNNNNNNNNNNNNNNNNNNNNNNNNNNNNNNNNNNNNNNNNNNNNNNNNNNNNNNNNNNNNNNNNNNNNNNNNNNNNNNNNNNNNNNNNNNNNNNNNNNNNNNNNNNNNNNNNNNNNNNNNNNNNNNNNNNNNNNNNNNNNNNNNNNNNNNNNNNNNNNNNNNNNNNNNNNNNNNNNNNNNNNNNNNNUUUAGACUUUGGGUUUUGUUUAGAUCAAAAGUUCGCCAUAGCUGCAACUUCGCAUACUUCGUUUGUGUUCAACGACCAGACCAAGGCGUCACAGAACCCCACCUUCAUUAAUAAAGCUUUCCUCUUUUAUUCGCAAUAUCCAGAUUGCAAUCUCAGUUUCUUGCUUGUUCUUCGUUUGCUCGCAGGAAAUAGACCCUCGUGGUCAGGUUGAUCGUGCUCCGGCGUGGUCAAUAACCCCCUCCGAAGUUGGUUUAGCGAUUGCUAAGGCGCGACGUCUUCGCACGUUCGUAGUCGGAUCGUCAAAGUCGACUCCCAUAGAAAAUGAUUGCUAUCUCAUCAAAACAUCGGGACACCUUUGCCUCUAUCAUGUUCAAAAAAAACUGAAUUGCAAUAUUGGGUGCAUCCCUCUGGCAAGCAGUUGUGUAUGAUUGCACAUAUCGAUUGUGUUCAUCGAGCAUUUCAGUUAAUGCUGAUACAAUGUAUACUAGUACUUAGUACUAGUAGAGUAUGUAAAGAUUUUCCAGUUUCCCACUCUUGUUGAGAAAAAAAACUGUUUGCAUCUCAUAUAUAUUCUCAUGCAUUUUUAGUUUAUUAUUCAAAAAUCCUACUGGAACCCAGAAAAAUAGGAAAUACUCUUGUUCAGGAAAACAAUUUCAUACUCUUGUCCAUGCAUUUUGUUAUUUCCUAUUUAGAACUUUUUUUCUUUUUGGCAACCAGGAAAGUGAGGACAAAAUAGAGAGGGAAAACAAGACACGAUAUCAUCAACAUGUCAGGAGUAAAAUUCAUGAUUUUUUUCCAGUGUUGAACAACAACCAACAUGUUGCUAGUUGGACCCAUGAAAUUCUGGUGUGGGAAGGUAAUGCAUAGAAAUUCCAAAAGAUCCCCCACAUUUUUAAAAAAAAUAUCAUCUAAACUAAUUUGCAAAUUCAGUCGAACCAACAACAAAACAAACGCAUAAGGCAAGGCAACAUUCAGGGGAGAUAAGAUUGUUUCAAACACCUUUGGUUUGUUGAAUCCCAGAUCAUCCGUCCUCCAGGCAAAACAGCUCAUGCAUGGUUGGUGAACUUGAUACACUUACAACUCAGCAUAACUAAAACCACUCUGUACCAAUGAAGAUGUCUACUACUAUUACUACUACCAUAGGGAGAGUUUGGUCCAUAAUUGAUAAAACUAAGGUGAGAACUCGAUAACUUAGUCAUGCUUACAAAAUGAAAAAGCUUAGAACAUCUAACUCAAGCAGAUUCAUUUCAAUUGUCAAGAUGUGGACCCGGAGCGACCGCGACCGGCACACAGGAGCUCCCGCUGGUCCUUGGUGUCCAUGUGCUCACCCAUGGUGCCGCACUCGAGCUCCAUGGUCUCCUUGGUUCCCUUGCCCUCCGUCAACAUCUCAUCGUGUCCCUUGAGCGUGGCCUUCUCUCGAUGAGCUCCUCCCCCCAGGCCGCCUUGAGAUCCCCCUCCUCCUCCUCUUCAAGCUCCGUCUUACAGGUCCAAAGCUUCUCCCUUGUACUCCCUCCGUUCCAAAAUAGAUGACUCAACUUUGUACUAACUUUCUCCACCGCCUCCUCCCGCCUGGUUAGCUCCUCCCUCCCUCUCCAUGUGCUCCUUGAGCACCUCGCAAGACUCAACCGCCUGCUGCUUCUCCUGAAGCGCCUCCUUUAACUCCUUGAUCCACUCACUCUUCUUAUACAGACAGGUUGAUCUGCUCGAAGCUAAAAAUCUUCUCGUCGAGCUUGAGCUGGCACCAACCGCUCUUAAUGUUCAUCUUCUGCUUCUUGAUCUCACGCUCCUGGCACGAGUUGAGGUACAUGGUGAUGUGCCUAGGAUGCGAAUGAAACUAAGGGUGGCGGCGGAGGGAACAAUUAAGAACAAAAAAUUUGAAAACAAAUUUGUAAAUGUGCUUUUCUGUAUAUAUGAACAAAAUAUUGAAAAAUGAAGUCAUUUUUCUUUAGCUUCGAACAUUUUUGUAAAACGCACUUUUUGAAAUUGUCAACAAAUUUUGAAAAAAAAAGAAACAUGAAAAUAAAAAUAAAAAACAAAGAGAAAGAGAAAAACACAGAGACAAAAAAAGAAAAUAGAAAAAACCGGUCCAAGAACCUUCUAGAAGGUUCCCAAAACCUAUAAAAACCGCUGGGAACCCUCUAGAAGAUUCCUAAAACCGUAAUGUGAUACCUAUUGCAGAUGGGCCAGCCCAAUCACUCGCUCGCGUUCGUGUGUGCAAUUGCUCGUGACCAGGACCAGGCCCGAGUUCUGGAAGUCGAAGAAGAUCUGAAGAGUUUGUAAGCGCAACGCAAAAACCCUUCAGGAGGACCAAAAGAACAAGGCCGCCGAGCUCAAAAGACUGAGCUUGGUGUGCAAAGAGACCCAGAGUCAGGCCCGGGCGGACCGCCAGGAGCUUCAUCAAGUGAAGCAAAUUGCGGCUGGUAAGCCAUACUUACUGCGAUGUAUCUUUGGUGACAUCAGGUUUGCUCAACUGACGCAGAUCUAGCACUCCUCAAACGCCUUCAUGGACCUUCCGAGGAGUGCGGCGGAUGCCGGCCGCCACUACAGCUCCCUUGAAGGAGAAGCCGAGUGGAAGGCCUUUUGGGCCCAAUUUCAGGUGACGUCACAUCUGCCGCAGUUGAACGACCAGAUGAAGCAGUUGAUGGAGCUGUAUCGUUUGGCAAGGCCGGUGAUAGAGGACAUCUGGAUCAACCUUUGGCCUCAGGAGUCAUUGCUGAGUAGCUACUUCGGCCUGGUUCAGCGGCUCCAAGGCGCGAGCCCCCAAGUUCUUCGUUGGAAGCACUCUACCUGUCUAGAGGGUGCGCAACGGGCAUAUGCGUCUGUGAGGACGCAUUAUCCCGGAAUCAAGGCGGCGCAUGUGGCUGCGGGGCCCCUGAAGGGAAGAAGCAUACUCCGGGGAGGUACAUGGCCGAGGUGCUGGACGGUGCUUGGAUCACCGAGACUCAAUGUAGAAUGACUUGUUAUACUAGAUGUCUCUUUGGGAUGCCGAGGUUUAAUUAUGUAAAAUGACAAGUUAUAUUUUGGAAUGUCCGGAUUUAAUGUCCGAUGUGUUUACUUUGACUCCUGUGUGAUCGUUUCUAAAUACUGAAAGUGGCCAGUCAUCGGCUUCUGCCCUCUUGUAUAUAAUAGAAAGGGUGUGUCUGUAGCACUACACUUAGCUGACGUCUCGGCGCCCGGAGACGGUAUGUGUUUAGCGGAAACUAGGCAAUCCGACUAUUCUGACUUUAUAACUUUCACUUAAUCAUAGAACCUUGACGGUGGGGGCAAGUGACUAGCCCCCGGAGUGGGGCNNNNNNNNNNNNNNNNNNNNNNNNNNNNNNNNNNNNNNNNNNNNNNNNNNNNNNNNNNNNNNNNNNNNNNNNNNNNNNNNNNNNNNNNNNNNNNNNNNNNNNNNNNNNNNNNNNNNNNNNNNNNNNNNNNNNNNNNNNNNNNNNNNNNNNNNNNNNNNNNNNNNNNNNNNNNNNNNNNNNNNNNNNNNNNNNNNNNNNNNNNNNNNNNNNNNNNNNNNNNNNNNNNNNNNNNGAGCUGGGCCGUGGCGCGGGGGUUCGCACACGGCGCACCCCAACUGGGUCGGCCCAUUGCGACUGAAAUUGAGGGUAUUUUUGACAAACGUGAACAAGACUUUACAUUUAUGUACAUCUUUUAAACUAAAACGAAAUUUUCCCGAAUAUUUUUAAAAUUUGUAAAAAAAAAACUUGAAAAAGGGUACAUAUUUUGAAAUUUGGAACAAUUCUUAAAAUGCGAACAUUUUCUAAAUUUCCAUAACAUUUUUUAAAAUGCAAAAAAGAAUUAAUUGGUGAACCAAAAUUGAGUUUGGGAACAAUUUUUGAAAACGUGAUAUUUUUUAAUUGGUGAACAAAAAUUGAAAACAGAAACAAUUCUAGAAAAAUCAAACAAAUUUUUGAAACUGAGAACAAUUUGAAUAACCUAAACAAUUUUGUAAACGCGUUUUUUUGUAUAUAUGAACAAAAUAUUGAAAAUGAAGGCAUUUUUCUUUAGAUUCAAACAUUUUGUAAAACACGAACAUCUUUUUUGUAAAACGCGAACAAUUUUUGAAAUUGUGAACAAAUUUUGAAAACAAGAUCGUUUCUUGAAACUCCAAAAAUUAUUUGAAAUUUUCGAACAAAAGAACAUGAAAAAGAAAAAGGAAAUAGAAAAUAAAAACAAAAAAGAAACAGAAAAACCUAUAAAAACCGCUGGGAACCCUCUAGAAGAUUCCCCGCUCGGCCAACAGUGGCAGCCGUCACCGAGCCACUCAGACGCCCAGUCUGCACUCGGCCAGACAUACAAUGUCAGGGUGCACGGAGGAAAUUUUUUGGUCUUUCUUGAAACACAAAUCAAAAGAUAAACAACUUCAGAGAAACACAAAACAAAUAUAUAUUUUGAUUUUGAUUUUUUCUGUAAAGAAGGCAAAUAAGAAUGAUAACAUGAAUGAUAUGUUGGUAAGAAAACAUACUUCCCCAAGCUUAGUUUUUUGGCCUAAGUUGGGCUUACUGCUCUGAUAAUGUCAGAGAGAAACGGAGAAGAGGGAGAGAGAGAGAGAGAGAGAGAGAGAGAGAGAGUGCUGAAAUGAUUUCAAGACCAGUUUUACACUAGACAGAUUGGAAUUCACCUCCCAAAAAAGGCACACCAGCUUAACUGCACUAUCAUCAUCAUCAUCAUCAUCAUCAUCAUCAUCAUCAUGUUAUUAUUCACAACAACUUGGCUAGCAUAAAACACCACACAAGCUCUUGGGGAGUAGGAUUACAAACAAAAAAUAUUGCAAGGCCACACCAUACCUAUACAACAAAGUGUUUCGAUUCCACGAUAGAAAAUGAAUAAAAACACCACCAAAUCUCAUCAACGACACUAACUUCACCCGACUCGAGUCGCUGAUUGAUUGAUUGAUUUCCGCGACCACGAGAUGUAGUAGGCACGAUCGAUCAGGGUCAGGCUCAGGCUCGACACUUCUGGGCAGGCAACCAAGAUGUAAUGUCUUCUUGUUUUCUCUACACACAAGUCAGCAGAGGGUCCCUGGAUGCCAUGAUUCAACUAACUACACAAGGGAUGCUCCAAGGUCUUUUUAAUGCUUCAUAUCAGCAUCACAUGUUGCGUGCUGAACCGCUCCGAGGCAGAGUCCUGAGAUACACACAAAAAAUUCUUUAACUAACACAUACCAUGCCUAGUGGAGUUUGAAACAAGCAUGAUGAUUAUUUAUCUCAAAAUCUCAACAGAGACAAUGGUAUCUGCGGUGCGGUAGGGGUGUACUGUACCUUCCAGGUGGCAUCUGUGAGGCAGAGGUGCUUGAACUGCCGAACCUUCUUGCUUUCGUAUCCUGCUCUUUCUCUAAUCGCAUAGCCACCACCUCCUUUUCCAUGGCAGCAACAUCCCGUCUCAUCUUCUUAGCCUCUGACUCCAUCGCCUUUGUUAAAGUGUCGACUUUCUUAGCCAACAUCUGCACAUCAAACCACUCAUUAACAGGAAUGCGGGAACAAAAAAGAGAGGGCAGCCAAACAGUGUGAUCCUAGCACCCGGCUAGAGUUACCUCAACUGCAUCGUCCUUGUCUUUCAAGCUUUGGUCCUUUUCAUAACAAGCCUUCCUCAGAGCAACGACCUCCUUUUGCAGCAUAUCAUACAGCAUACCUGACACUGUGUCCUCCGACUCAACAGAUGUAAAUUCACUAGGCUUCUCAUCUGAGUUGUUUGACUCCUUAUCUUCGCUGGAGUCAGUAGAUACAUUCAUGCCAACCCCAUUUACAUGGCCCUUAUAGCGGUCAAGUGAUCUACACCCUCCAUCAAAAGACUUGGAUGCCCCCUUCGCAUGGUUCACCAGAGUAGUCGUGGUGGUAGAUACCGAUGUUCUCAUCUGGAAUGAUGGCCGUUUUGAUAGAAAGCCAUUGGUCUUGGAUGCACUCUCAGCGCCACCAAUAGACUGGCGGCGCGCAGCACUUGCAUUGGUUCGCGAUGUCGACAUUCUCAAUCCUUCCUCGAGUACUUUAAGCCGUAGCUGGAACUUGUCCUGCGAUGUUCGAUGCAGAUCACAAUGAAGAGAGAGCAGAAACAGCUAACUGAUAGGAAGACAGAAGUAAAGGAUUUCAUGAGAAACAUGGAAGGAAAAAUGCAUACCUUCAGUUGAGCUUCUGAUCUUGCAGCCCUUUCUGCUAUAGCAAGUUUAUCACGGAGUUGCUGCAUUUCUCCCUGUAAAAGGAUAAUCCUCCACAAGUUAACAAAAGUGCCAUGGUUUAGUCUAGUCAAAGAAGAAAAUGUGAAAAGGCUACAGUCCCAUUGAGGGGCUUCUAGAGAUCCAUCCAGAAAAGGUCGAGUAAGACUAGAAGAUGUGAGACAUUCAUUACUUACUUGCAGAAGCCUCCGUUCUUCAAGCCAUUGCUUAACAGGCAUUACUUUAUCAUUGCCAUCUUUCCACUCAUUUGCCACCACUACCGCGACCCUAUUUGCUGAAACCUUUGCACGGGCAAGCUCACGAUCCAGAGUUUUCAUUUCCUCCUGAGAACAACAUGCAUGUAAGAAAUAUUCACUUGUAUGACAAUGAAAGAUUUCGGGUACACUAAAUAUCAUGAACUGCACGAAUAGGGGUUCAAGCCAUCAUGCAUUACAUUCAUCUCCUGAACUUUCCGCUGAUAGUCCCUAACAGCAUUUGCGGCUGCGCCACCAGCAAGAACAGCUUCUUCUAGCUCUCUGACGGUCUGAGUAAGUUUUUCGACCUCAGCAACCUUCUGGCGGUGCAUUCUGUCCAAGAUUUUGUUCUCUUCCUAUAGAAUACCAAAGACAAAGUCUCAUAUACCAUUGCUGGUCGUAUGCCACAGCUAGCAAAUUGUUUGUAAAUGCAUGCUUUCACCGUCUUAUACCUGACAUAUCUCGAUCUGUUUCAUCAAUUCUUGGUUUUUGUUUUGUAAAUCAUCCACCAAGGAAGCUUUCGCUAAUGCUAUCUGAACUGUCCUUUCUGCUUCCAGCAGAGCAGCUUCCUUGGAUUUGGUAAGACGGUCCAAUGCCCUGUUGUCAUCUUGUAAUUUUGCAAUCUGCUCAACAAAAUCGAUGCAUUAGUGUUUCAGCAGGAGGGCAUUCAAUCGACAGAGAACAGGACUGAUGGUAGAAUCGACAACUGCACAUAAACAUCAGUGAUAGAAUGCGCCGCUUUGCAAAUUUGUGAAGUAGCAACACGUAAAUCCACAUCUGGAAACCAGAAGGUUGGCGGUAUUUACCAACUACCAAGACAACGGUAGAAAUUAAGUAAGAUUACGGGAGGUGCUGCAUAAAAGCUACCGAUAUCUUGUGAGAACAAGAAGUGAAUACAGUUUACUAAAAGCAAAGGUUUCAUACAUGGAACACACUGAUGAGACUUUAAGAGAAAACAAGACAAGACAACCAUAUGGCAAGAUGAAAAGUACCUCUUGACGGGCUAGUUUCAGCUCGGCCUCCAGCGGAGCAAGGAUGGCCUCGAUGGGAGGCAUGUCAUCAUCCUUCUGCGCCGCAUGAACCCUCCGCAGCGUAGCCUCCGCUGCAAACUGGGCAGCAAGCGCUGCUUUCUUCUCAUCGUUGAUCUUCUUCGCUUCAAGGUUCUGCAAAAUGCCGCGUAUCAUCAACAGCUGCUCUCUUGUCAAGAUAAAAACUGUGAGCUUGGAAGGAAAAAAAAACAGGAAAAAGAAGGAAGGGCUGAUCCAUUACCUUGCUUUCCAGGAGAGACUCUGUGAGCUUGAGCUUCCCAUCCACCUUUGCCAGUUCUUCGGUAAGCUUACAUUGAUGCGUAAGGCAAAGUCAGGAUUGUCCCCAAAAAUUGAAAAAUGCGCGGAAAAGGAAGACAUUUGAAGUGUAAUGAUAUGUCAGAGGUGGUUCCUUGGUUAGUUUCUUCUACUCUUUGCAAACAAACAGUUGUCCUAGCAUUACACCAGGGGUCUAAAAUUUCGACAAACGCGUGAAAAGGAAGGCAUUUGGAGCUUCAUUGGCUUCUCCUACUUGCAAACUAACAAUUGUCCUAAAAUGCUCACAGAACGGUUCACAGUUUUCAUCCUUCAUCUGCUUCUACUUGUAAAUUAACAAACAGCUAUCCAGAACUAAUGAGCAGGUCGUUUUAGUGCCUAGAUGUGACAGCUGAUACAAGUGCAUUUUGAAGGUUCAAGAUGCAGAUGGAGCUUUCAUGAGCUGUAACCGAAAAAUCAAGCAGUCGUUUUCGCCGAAAAAGACAUGGAAAUUGCUCAGGAAACAUGAAGCUGAUGCUCGGAUCUACUCAAUUCUAGCCUAGAUGUAGAGUAAAAGAGAANNNNNNNNNNNNNNNNNNNNNNNNNNNNNNNNNNNNNNNNNNNNNNNNNNNNNNNNNNNNNNNNNNNNNNNNNNNNNNNNNNNNNNNNNNNNNNNNNNNNNNNNNNNNNNNNNNNNNNNNNNNNNNNNNNNNNNNNNNNNNNNNNNNNNNNNNNNNNNNNNCUUGUCUGCAAGCAAGCAAGCACCAAAUCCAAUCCGUUGAGGUGGAAAGGCGGAAUCUUGCUCCGGGCGGCGAGGAGGGAGGGAGGGAGAUCCGAUCUGGAGGGCAGAUCGGAUCGGCAAUGGAGCUUACAGUGGAGGUCGUUCUCGAGGCGGGUGAGCUCGACGCGGACGGGAUCGGAGCCGUGGAGCAGGCUGAUGAGGUCCUCCAUCUCCAGCGCCGGCUUCAGCCUGGGCCGCUGCUGCUGCGCCGGCGGCUGCUGCUGGUGCUGAUGACUCCUCAGCGCCCGGCCGUCGCCGUACGGAUCGGCCAUGGCCGGCGGCGAUCCCAACCGCAACCACGCCACCAAUGCGCUGCCUGUGCUUGUGGGGGGCGGUCAGACUCAGAGAGAAGAGAGGAGAGAGUGUGUUAAUGGCGGUCAGGUCACAUGAAUAACAGUGUGCGUGUGCGUGUGCGUGUGUGAUGGAGCAAAGGAGGGAGAGGAGAGGGUGGUCAUUUGCAUUUGCAGCCCCGGUCCACGCAUCGCAUCG